AUUGAACGCUGGCGGCAGGCCUAACACAUGCAAGUCGAACGGUAACAGGAAGCAGCUUGCUGCUUUGCUGACGAGUGGCGGACGGGUGAGUAAUGUCUGGGAAACUGCCUGAUGGAGGGGGAUAACUACUGGAAACGGUAGCUAAUACCGCAUAACGUCGCAAGACCAAAGAGGGGGACCUUAGGGCCUCUUGCCAUCGGAUGUGCCCAGAUGGGAUUAGCUAGUAGGUGGGGUAACGGCUCACCUAGGCGACGAUCCCUAGCUGGUCUGAGAGGAUGACCAGCCACACUGGAACUGAGACACGGUCCAGACUCCUACGGGAGGCAGCAGUGGGGAAUAUUGCACAAUGGGCGCAAGCCUGAUGCAGCCAUGCCGCGUGUAUGAAGAAGGCCUUCGGGUUGUAAAGUACUUUCAGCGGGGAGGAAGGGAGUAAAGUUAAUACCUUUGCUCAUUGACAUUACCCGCAGAAGAAGCACCGGCUAACUACGUG
rnacentral:rRNA from 1 species